rnacentral:tRNA from 1 species
GGCAACGUGCCUGAGUGGUUAAAGGGUAUGACUCGAAUAGGCUCGCCUAUUUUCUAGCUAUCAUAUGACUUCGGUCGCACAGGUUCGAAUCCUGUCGUUGUCG